UACAGAGGGUGCGAGCGUUGUUCGGAAUUAUUGGGCGUAAAGCGCAUGUAGGCGGUCUGUUAAGUCGCGUGUGAAAGCCCCAGGCUCAACCUGGGAAGUGCGCGCGAAACUGGCGGACUUGAGUGCUGGAGAGGGUGGCGGAAUUCCCGGUGUAGAGGUGAAAUUCGUAGAUAUCGGGAGGAACACCGGUGGCGAAGGCGGCAUCCUGGACCGAUACUGACGCUGAGGAGCGAAAGCCAGGGGAGCAAAGCGGG
rnacentral:rRNA from 1 species